rnacentral:rRNA from 1 species
GAUGAACGCUGGCGGCGUGCCUAAUACAUGCAAGUCGAGCGAACAGAUGAGGAGCUUGCUCCUCUGACGUUAGCGGCGGACGGGUGAGUAACACGUGUAUAACCUACCUAUAAGACUGGGAUAACUUCGGGAAACCGGAGCUAAUACCGGAUAAUAUAUUGAACCGCAUGGUUCAAUAGUGAAAGACGGUUUUGCUGUCACUUAUAGAUGGAUCCGCGCCGCAUUAGCUAGUUGUUAAGGUAACGGCUUACCAAGGCAACGAUGCGUAGCCGACCUGAGAGGGUGAUCGGCCACACUGGAACUGAGACACGGUCAAGACGCCUACGGGAGGCAGCAGUAGGGAAUCUUACGCAAUGGGCGAAAGCAUGACGGAGCAACGCCGCGUGAGUGAUGAAGGUCUUCGGAUCGUAAAAAUCUGUUAUUAGGGAAGAACAAAUGUGUAAGUAAAUAUGGACGUAUUGACGGUAACUAAUCAGAAAGCCACGGCUAACUACGUG